rnacentral:rRNA from 1 species
UUAUAUUCCUACGGGAAGCAGCAGUGAGGAAUUUUUCACAAUGGGGGGUAGUCUGAUGGAGCAAUACCACGUGAACGAUGAAGGUCUUCUGAUUGUAAAGUUCUUUUAUUUAGGAAAAAAAGCGUGCUAGGAAAUGAGCGCGCCUUGAUGGUACUAAUAUUAAGUCUAACGAAGAGAGAACA